AUACGGAGGGUGCAAGCGUUACUCGGAAUCACUGGGCGUAAAGCGCGCGCAGGCGGCUAUUUAAGUUGGAUGUGAAAGCCUACGGCUCAACCGUAGAACUGCAUCCAAAACUACUUAGCUAGAGUGUGGGAGAGGAAGAUGGAAUUAGUUGUGUAGGGGUAAAAUCCGUAGAGAUAACUAGGAAUACCAAAAGCGAAGGCAAUCUUCUGGAACACUCCUGGCGCUGAGGCGCGAAAGCGUGGGGAGCAAACGGGAUUAGAAACCCCAGUAGUCC
rnacentral:rRNA from 1 species